AAUUUAAUUUAUUUUAAGAUUUAAUUAACUUGGUUGUUUAAAUUUUUGAAUAAUUAAAAUUUUACGGGGAUGAGCUGGUAAAAUUUGAUUAAAUUUUUUUUUGUAAUUGAUAAAUUGUAGGAUUAGUAUUGUCUGUCUUUUGAGUAUGUUAUGAUUCAUUAUUAAUUAUUUUUGAUUUUUUAUUGAAUUAAUUUGUUUAUUAAAAUGUAGUAUUUAAUUUUAAUUUAUUAGUAAUAAUUAUAGAAUUAGUAAAUUUUUAUUUUUAUUGAUAAUUAUGUUUUGUAGGUGAUUUAAAGGAAUUCGGCAAAUUUAUUUCUCGCCUGUUUAUUAAAAACAUGUUCUUUUGUUUAUGAUUUAAGAUUUAACCUGCCCAGUGAUUUUUUAAAUGGCCGCGGUAAAUUGACCGUGCGAAGGUAGCGUAAUCAUUAGUUUUUUAAUUGAAAGCUGGUAUGAAUGGUUGGACGAGGGAAUUACUGUCUCUAGAUUAUUUAAUUUGAAUUUUAUUUUUGAGUCAAAAAGCUUAAAUUGGUUUGAAAGACGAGAAGACCCUAUAGAGUUUAACUUAUUGGUUAGUUUUGUUUAAAGAUGCUAGAUUAAUUCUUAAGUUUUGUUGGGGUGAUAGAAAGAUUAAAUUAACUCUUUUAAUAUUAUUUCAUAUGUAAAUGUAUAGGUGAUCCAAUUUUUGUUGAUUAUUAGAUUAAAUUACCUUAGGGAUAACAGCGUAAUCUUUAUUUAGAGUUCUUAUCGAAAUAUAAGGGUUGCGACCUCGAUGUUGGAUUAAAAUAUAC
rnacentral:rRNA from 1 species